rnacentral:rRNA from 1 species
UACGGGGGGGGCAAGCGUUGUUCGGAAUUACUGGGCGUAAAGGGUUUGUAGGUGGCUUGCUAAGUCAGACGUGAAAUCCCUCAGCUUAACUGGGGAACUGCGUCUGAUACUGGUGAGCUUGAGUGCAGGAGAGGAACGCGGAAUUCCAGGUGUAGCGGUGAAAUGCGUAGAUAUCUGGAGGAACACCGGUGGCGAAGGCGGCAUCCUGGACCAUUACUGACACUGAAACGCGAAAGCCAGGGGAGCAAACGGG